UGCCAAAGGAAAAUUGAAC
rnacentral:miRNA from 1 species